rnacentral:tRNA from 1 species
UGGGGAGUCGUCUAAUGGUAGGACAGCGGACUCUGAAUCCGUAAGUGAAGGUUCAACUCCUUCCUCCCCAGCCA